rnacentral:tRNA from 2 species
AGGGGAGGUUCAACCAACAAGAACUGCUAAUUCUUACAUCUGAGCUUAAAACCUCAGUCCCCUU